rnacentral:rRNA from 1 species
GACAGAGGGUGCAAACGUUGUUCGGAAUUACUGGGCGUAAAGCGAGUGUAGGCGGUUUGGUAAGUCGGAUGUGAAAGCCCCGGGCUCAACCCGGGAAGUGCACUCGAUACUGCCAAGCUAGAGUAUCGGAGAGGUUGGUGGAAUUCUCGGUGUAGAGGUGAAAUUCGUAGAUAUCGAGAGGAACACCGGUGGCGAAGGCGGCCUUCUGGACGGAUACUGACGCUGAGACGCGAAAGCGUGGGGAGCAAACAGG